AUUGAACGCUGGCGGCAGGCCUAACACAUGCAAGUCGAACGAGUGGCGGACGGGUGAGUAACGUCUGGGAAACUGCCUGAUGGAGGGGGAUAACUACUGGAAACGGUCGCUAAUACCGCAUACCAUCAGAUGUGCCCAGGUGGGAUUAGCUAGUUGGUGGGGUAACGGCUCACCAAGGCGACGAUCCCUAGCUGGUCUGAGAGGAUGACCAGCCACACUGGUACUGAGACACGGUCCAGACUCCUACGGGAGGCAGCAGUGGGGAAUAUUGCACAAUGGGCGCAACCCUGAUGCAGCCAUGCCGCGUGUAUGAAGAAGGCCUUCGGAUUGUAAAGUACUUUCGUCAGGGAAGCGUUACCCGAAGAAGAAGCACCGGCUAACUCCGUGCCAGCAGCCGCGGUAAUAC
rnacentral:rRNA from 1 species